UUAUAAGAGAAAGUUCAUUUUUUAGGUUCAUUCAAUAAAUGAUGUAUCUCGUUCUUAAUAUAAACUAGAUGCAUCAUUUAUUGAAUGAAUCUAAAAAGUGAACUUUCUCUUAUAA
rfam:Medicago truncatula strain A17 chromosome 2, whole genome shotgun sequence.